CAGCAUGUGGGUGGCUCCAGGCUCUGGGGCCCGGCAGAGCUGGGCUGCCGUGCCCUAGUGGCUCUCCUGACCUUCCCCUGUCACCUGCAGCCAGCUACCCAUCCUGGCAAGGUGUCAGAAUAAACUUCCUUGGUGAAGAGACACGAGUUUGGAUCACAACGUGCAGGCUGUGCUCUCGCAGUUAGCCGCGUGGCACUCACAGCUGUUACCAGGUGCCAGGAGAUGACGUGGCUCAUCAUCAGGGUUUAUUUUCAGUAACGUGUAGAUGCACUGAAGACAAAACACAGCUUUCCACUCCCAUCGCGUUCUCCAGCUGGGUUACAGGGGAAGCUCGAUCACGGCAGAGCCUCCCGAGCCAGCAUGAGCCCUGUUGGGGUCCCGCGAUGAGGCUGAGGCUGGAGCUCUCCCGGCACAAGCAGGAGCUGUUCUUGGCCGCUCACCUCUUGCCCUGGCCAUCGCCUGGUCCUCUGCCUUCCUCAGCCUCGAGAAACGCACCGGGGACCAGCAGCACUCUGGGGACUCUGCUGGGAGAGCUGCUCCUGUGGCGUCGGGAAGCGACUUCUCCUGCCGCUCUAGCCCGGGCUGACAGGGACAGCUCCUGCCAGCCCGGGCUGCUCUGAGCCCCAGUGCCCAGCCUGGCCCCGCGGCGCUCGGAUUGCCGCUGCUGCUGCUGCUGCUGCUCAGAGGGACCCCGAGAUGGGUUAGAAAGUCUCCUUUCCCAGCCCGGUGGCUGAAGAAGGAGUCAGAGCUCUUCAGUUCUCGCUCUCAAGGAUUCUGUCUGGGCAGUGCCAGCUUCUAACUCUGAAUCCUGACGGCGUCUUCAGGACUGAGCGAGGCAGGAAGAAGUUCAUUUCAUUCUGAUAAUGGAGCAAUAAAUUCUCUUUCUCUGAAAGA